rnacentral:rRNA from 1 species
CGAGAAAGCCCGCAAGGGUGAGUACAGCGGCGCACGGGUGCGUAACACGUGGGUAAUCUGCCCUGGAGUCCGGAAUAACUCGCCGAAAGGCGUGCUAAUGCCGGAUGAGACCACGGGGGCCUCGGCCCCUGCGGGAAAAGGUGGCCUCUGCAUGCAAGCUAUCACUUCAGGAUGAGCCCGCGGCCCAUCAGCUCGUUGGCGGGGUAACGGCCCACCAAGGCUACGACGGGUAGCUGGUCUGAGAGGACGAUCAGCCACACUGGAACUGAGACACGGUCCAGACUCCUACGGGAGGCAGCAGUGGGGAAUCUUGCGCAAUGGGCGAAAGCCUGACGCAGCAACGCCGCGUGUGUGAUGAAGGUCUUCGGAUCGUAAAGCACUGUCGCGAGGGACG